UAGUUGAACGCUGGCGGCAUGCCUAACACAUGCAAGUCGAACGGUAACAGGUCUUCGGAUGCUGACGAGUGGCGGACGGGUGAGUAACGCGUAGGAAUCUGUCUUUGAGUGGGGGACAACCCAGGGAAACUUGGGCUAAUACCGCAUAAGCCCUGAGGGGGAAAGCGGGGGAUCUUCGGACCUCGCGCUGGAAGAGGAGCCUACGUCUGAUUAGCUAGUUGGUAGGGUAAAGGCCUACCAAGGCGACGAUCGGUAGCUGGUCUGAGAGGACGACCAGCCACACUGGGACUGAGACACGGCCCAGACUCCUACGGGAGGCAGCAGUGGGGAAUUUUUCGCAAUGGGGGCAACCCUGACGAAGCAAUGCCGCGUGAAUGAAGAAGGCCUUCGGGUUGUAAAGUUCCUUCGUGGAGGACGAAAAGGUGGGUGCUAAUAUCGCCUGCUGUUGACG
rnacentral:rRNA from 1 species